AUGAAUAAAACAUCCUCGUUAACGGAACAAAUUGAUCAAAAACCAAUCAGCAACCAUGAUGUUUACUUAUUUAUUAUUCAAUCUUCUACCACUUGCACUCUGUUCACAACAUUCAACACUAUGACAUAUAAGUUUGAUAAAAAAAUUAUUUACUACUUGACUUCUGAUAUGUAUAUUAGGUGUGGAUUUUAA